rnacentral:rRNA from 1 species
AUUGAACGCUGGCGGCAUGCUUUACACAUGCAAGUCGAACGGCAGCGCGGGCUUCGGCCUGGCGGCGAGUGGCGAACGGGUGAGUAAUGCAUCGGAACGUGCCCAGUAGUGGGGGAUAGCCCGGCGAAAGCCGGAUUAAUACCGCAUACGACCUGAGGGUGAAAGCGGGGGACCGAAAGGCCUCGCGCUAUUGGAGCGGCCGAUGUCGGAUUAGCUAGUUGGUGGGGUAAAGGCUUACCAAGGCGACGAUCCGUAGCUGGUCUGAGAGGACGACCAGCCACACUGUGACUGAGACACGGCCCAGACUCCUACGGGAGGCAGCAGUGGGGAAUUUUGGACAAUGGGGGCAACCCUGAUCCAGCCAUGCCGCGUGCGAGAAGAAGGCCUUCGGGUUGUAAACCGCUUUUGUUCGGGAAGAAAUCCUCUGGGCUAAUACCCCGGGGGGAUGACGGUACCGGAAGAAUAAGCACCGGCUAACUACGUG